rnacentral:lncRNA from 7 species
AAUCAGAGGAUUGAGGAAAAUGCAGUGGCUCCCACACUAUCUCCAGCUGUGUAUCAUGGGAGGCUAGACGUUGCUGUCAUUCAAAUUUGCCACCUGAGGUGCUGUAACAUGAUUCAGUUGUUAUCAACUGGAAUAACGGGAAGUGGCUGGAGGCCAGACAUUUUUCUCAGUUGGACAAAUACGCAUGGAUGAAGAUCUUAAUUCCUUGUCCAGAGUCUACUGAAGCCAGAUCUUCCCAGAGUCACGGUGGCACAGCUGGAGUCACCAGUCAUUUCCAGAUGGAGCUAUGAGGAUUGUUAUGAAUACAUCCAGCUGGAAAAGGUCUGCAGUUGAGGAAGUGUGCACUGAUGACCGAAACACUGCACUGUCCCGUGAGUUUGUUCCCUUUGCUGUGUGCUCCAUCCCUUGUCAACUAAUAUGUGAGAGAGAUUAUGGCACCAAACAGAAAUCACGUGGGCUUGAGUUGAAUUAAUUCUCUUCCCUACAUUCCCUUGAACAAAUGAAGAUUUGAAAAGCAACAUGAAAGUGUGGUUUUGGAUGUUCAGAAGUUCAAAAUCCCCCCCAUUAUAGACACUAAAAUAAAUAGUGAUGAAGAUACAAAAGGGGAUAUGUUUCUUGGUAAAGACAAGCACAUUUAUUAAAAAGAAAAUGUUAGAGAUCUGCAGGCAGGGAAGUGCCUUGAUUUACGGUUUGCCUUACCUACAGCAGUUACAGCUUGGUUAUUUUCAAAGGUGGUUUUGUUGUGUUUGUUUGAUUUUGUUUUAAACUCGGACAUGCUGAUUGAUGAUCUCUCUAUUGCAUCUCAAUGGUGGCUGUGUAUUUUUGUGAGCACGGGCAAUUAAGGUUUCCCCACUCAGCUGAAACUGUCUGAGCUCCUUUGGUUAGGGAUAAGGAUUGCCUCCGUGUGUUAUCUACAGGUGUGUUCCUACCAUGAUGAAAUACUGCCUGUGGAGGAUUUUAGAAGUGUUAGAAGAAGUAAUAGAAAUAUUCCAGUUUGUCUUCACUUUGACCAUGAUCCAUAGCUAGUUGCACAGUCAGUGUAGUAACACUGGGAUGAACUCUGCAUUCUGUAUUUUCAUACAGUUCUCUCUAUUGUGAAGUUUUGUGCCAAAUAUCAAUUCACUCUAUCAAUUUAUAGCUUUCCACUUAGGGACUAAUUCAUCCUUGGUUUGGAAAGUAACCCAAAGCAAUAUCCCAAGUGUGUGUGACCGCUGGGGACCAACCAGCAGGAAGAGAAUCAGGAAAAGUGUCCCACACUAAAAAAAAAAAAUAAUAAAUAAAAAAUAAAAAAAAAUAGCAGCACAGUAGUUGAAAGAUAGAAGUUACUGCAUUUCAGUGCAUUAAGCAGACCUCAUAGGCAAGAACUUCUGUUUCAUUUCCUUCUCUCCCUCUUGGAUAGUUGUUAUUUUUCAGUAAAAGCAUAUUUAAUCUUGGCCAAUUAAACUUGCUAGCACUCAGCACUUAGCAGGUCUUUUCUCCCUUUUUUCUUUCUUUCCCUUUUUUCUGUCUUUUCUUUCUUUCUUUCUUUUCUUCAAAGAGAAGCAUUUAUUGAUAAUAAUAAACUUUUCAACCUAAGGAACUCUCUUUGAAUUAAAAGGGAUGGUAGAAGGAUUC